rnacentral:rRNA from 1 species
GCAAGUCGAGCGGAAACGAGAAGUAGCUUGCUACUUCGGCGUCGAGCGGCGGACGGGUGAGUAAUGCCUAGGAAAUUGCCCUGAUGUGGGGGAUAACCAUUGGAAACGAUGGCUAAUACCGCAUAAUGCCUUCGGGCCAAAGAGGGGGACCUUCGGGCCUCUCGCGUCAGGAUAUGCCUAGGUGGGAUUAGCUAGUUGGUGAGGUAAUGGCUCACCAAGGCAACGACCCCUAGCUGGUUUGAGAGGAUGAUC